rnacentral:rRNA from 1 species
UUUAUGGAGAGUUUGAUCCUGGCUCAGGAUGAACGCUGGCGGCGUGCCUAAUACAUGCAAGUCGAGCGAACGGACGAGAAGCUUGCUUUUCUGAUGUUAGCGGCGGACGGGUGAGUAACACGUGGAUAACCUACCUAUAAGACUGGGAUAACUUCGGGAAACCGGAGCUAAUACCGGAUAAUAUUUUGAACCGCAUGGUUCAAAAGUGAAAGACGGUCUUGCUGUCACUUAUAGAUGGAUCCGCGCUGCAUUAGCUAGUUGGUAAGGUAACGGCUUACCAAGGCAACGAUGCAUAGCCGACCUGAGAGGGUGAUCGGCCACACUGGAACUGAGACACGGUUCAGACUCCUACGGGAGGCAGCAGUAGGGAAUCUUCCGCAAUGGGCGAAAGCCUGACGGAGCAACGCCGCGUGAGUGAUGAAGGUCUUCGGAUCGUAAAACUCUGUUAUUAGGGAAGAACAUAUGUGUAAGUAACU